UCCCAGCUGGAGUUUUUGUUUGUCUGUGACUGGAGAGUCAGAUUUUUGUUGAGCUUCACACUUGCAGACCUAAGUCAGUUUGCAGAGAUCCCUCCCACUCUGGCUUUUAUGUCCUAGAUUUCUUAUCUGAAACAGUAAUAUUUCAGUGACUGCUGCUUGUACCACAGGUUAAUACACGCUACUGAUCCCUGAUAGGAGAAUCAUCAAUUUUGGCAACAAAGAAGCCUGGUGGAUGUUUGUUUACAGUCUGAUGAUGGGACAUCAUGCUCUGCAUCGUCAAAGUUUGCCUCCUCAUUAUUAUUCAUACCCAUCUUUUCGCAGGAUCAGAAAACAAAACCAGGAGGCGCGUAAAUGUUUCUUCAAAUGUUUCUUCUGGAUGAUGAUAAGACUGUGACACGGGAUGCCACCUUUGGUCUUGUGAUGAAGCAAAGCUCAGGAAGAAGUGGGAUUAAAUGGUACCCACAUGUGUGCUGCUGAGAAGGAUGUACAGGGGCACCUGCAGCCAAAUCCAAGCCUCAGAGCAGCAGUUUGUGCUCACAGAUGGUGACGGUGUGGAGAGACGGUGGUGUUUCCUCAGAAGAACCAGCAGAGUCACUUGCUGACUGAUGCUCAUCUGCACUGCACAGAGGAAAUCAACUGACCGAGGUU